CAAUAGCGUAUAUUAAAGUUGUUGCGGUUAAAAAGCUCGUAGUUGGAUUUCUGCCGAGGACGACCGGUCCGCCCUCUGGGUGUGUAUCUGGUUUGGCCUGGGCAUCUUCUUGGAGAACGUGGCUGCACUUGACUGUGUGGUGCGGUGUCCAGGACUUUUACUUUGAGGAAAUUAGAGUGUUUCAAGCAGGCACACGCCUUGAAUACAUUAGCAUGGAAUAAUAAGAUAGGACCUCGGUUCUAUUUUGUUGGUUUCUAGAGCUGAGGUAAUGAUUAAUAGGGAUAGUUGGGGGCAUUCGUAUUUAACUGUCAGAGGUGAAAUUCUUGGAUUUGUUAAAGACGGACUACUGCGAAGGCAUUUGCCAAGGAUGUUUUCAUUGA
rnacentral:rRNA from 1 species